GGAGGACACGUAUAGCUAAAAUCGAAGGGCCACCUUUGGACCUUAAUAAGUGGCCGAGAGCGUGAUCAUGGUCAUGGUGACGAAGUGCACGUGUUCACGACCAAGUUUUACAAGAGGUACAUCCGGAGUCGUAGGUGAGACGCCUUGUGUCGUCAACGGUCACUGCCGAGGCUGUGACGAUGCGCACGCAUACACGGGCGUAUAUUUUCCCCAUUCAACCGUUGGCCCUACCUGCGAAUGAAUACGAUGAAUAAUAGACAGAGCAAGCCUGCAUGGAUAUUCACGUAUAUAAAGGAGUGAUAUGUAUGCGACACGCAUACUGGCGCAGACACACACCUAGCCAUAGUGGAGAUCUGUACAUGGUGGUGAAGCCCGCAAGGGAGUUCGUUUUAAAGGCUCGGCUCUAAGGAGGAUUCCCUUCACAUUUGUUAUUGAUCCUGACAAGACUUCUUACUUUGCUCCAAUCCUGAUGAAAAUAAGGCGAUGGAAUUUCUCUCAAUAUUCUCCUGUUUGCUCUUGCUCGGAUUCUUUUCGAAUUUUAUUAGCAAUGCGACAUAAUUGGACUAUGUAAAAUGUUUUUGUUAUUGAUCUGUAUUAUAUGGUGGUGAAACAUUGCAAGAAAGUUGGUUUUGAAGACUCAGCUCUGAGGAGGGUUUCCUUCAGGGUUUGUUAUUGAUCCUGCCGAGACUUCUUACUUCGCUCCAAUCCUGAUGAAGUUAAGGCGAAAUUUCGCUGCAUGUGUGAUACAUUGGAAGGUUCCACAAUAUAAUUCUAAUAAC